GUCCCCCCCAUUGCCUGCAGCCCUGCGCUCCACCCCAGCCUUGCUUCCGCUCCCUGAUAGCUCCAGCCCCUGGCUCGGAAUCCUCCCUUCUCCCCAGCAGCAGCCCCUGGGCAGGGGCUCUGGGUAGCCCCUGGGGUAUUUAUUAUUUCCCCCCUUUUACCGAUGGGGUAACACUGGAGCACAGAGAGGUGAAUGACUGUCGCAGGGACACCGUGAGUGAUGGGAGGUUGGAGGAGCUAAAAUCCAGGAGUCCUGAUUCCCAGGCCACUGAUCUGACCACUAGAACCUGACUCCCCUGCAAAACUGCCAGUGAGGCUAGACUUUCCAGAGGGUUGAUUUGUUUUAAUUUGGUUUAAUCUGUUACUGUAGUAGCACUAUUAGAGGUGGGGAGCAGCUAGAACAUACUCACUAUGGCUAUUCCCAGCUGGCAAUUUAGAACAGCCCUCGGGUUCCAAUAUUGGUUCCUUGAGAGCUCCCCUGCUGGCUUCAGAAGAAAACCUGGCCAGUAAGUAUUCAGUAGGAACAAAAGUUUUUUCUCACCUGACAAAGUUAUGAUGUUAUGUUUGUGGUUAGCUGAUGGUAGCUUCUUUUUGAUUUCUUUGGUCUCAUUCUUCCCCUGUUCACCACCUCCCCCAACCUCCAGACUCCUCUGGUAACUAUUAAGCUUGGCUGCCUUUUUUAAUUAUAAGCUUUGUAUAUUUUGAAGUACUGAGGAUUUGGGGCAUGGAGGAAGGUUUCUCCUACAUAUUUAUAACUUCUGUAGCAUUUCCCAUGCAGCCUACCAGAAAUGAAUGAUGAUGACCUUAAGGAUCUGAAAGAAUUUCCCUGUGAGGAUGUGCUAUAACUAGAGCAGCUGUAAGUGAACAGGAAUGGGAGAGUACCGGAUUCUUCUCUUGAUGUGCAUUGAAAACUAACUCCCAGACCACUACUUAGCAGUUUAACCUUGUGUCAAAACCAAACAUGAGCUAACUGCCUUAAAAUGAUGGAUAAAAUCAGAAAGCUGAUGAUAAAAAGAACCACUUGUGGAAUGAGACAAGAAUUUGGCUUGCACCUAGAAAAGUGUCAAAUCAAAACGGGGUUUUAUUUCAUUGAACUAGACAUUGAGAUGAUUUAGGAGACGAGAGUGAAAGAUAUGCCUUCCACAUGUCUCUUUCUGCUCUUGCUUUCCCCCUCCGGCUGCCACUGCCGCCUUCUCCUUUUGGCUUUCAACCUGGCUAUCGUUCUGUCUUCUCUAUGAUGAUAUCUGGACUUGUCUACACACAGAGCUACUCGGUUAACUAGAAGUUAUUUUAAACUGAGCUGGUUAAACCAAUGCAAAAGGCACACUUAUUUGGUUAAGAGUGGCUUAUUUUGCUUUAUCUUAAUUAGAUUAGGAACAGAUGUUAGCUAAACAGAAACAAGUCACUCCUAUCUGAAAUAGGAGUCUCUACACUGUUACAUCAGUUCAACUAAACUGGUUCAAGUUUGUGUAAAGACAACUCCUCUAUCCUACUUUCUUUUUCUUCUCUUUAUCCUCUUUCACUCCUGGGGCAGAUUAAUAUAAUGGUAGGGAUGCAUACAAAAUUGAGGGUUCCGAUAUAAUGCCUCCUUUAGGGGGGGAGGCAUAAUGGCACUAGUACAGACAGCAACUGCAUUAUGAGAUUUUAGGACCAGGUAAGUAACUUUCACAUCAGUAGGAAUUGGUCCUUCUGAAGAGUACAACCCAUAACACAUUUAAAUGCAUUGUGUAGUCUCUUCCCUGCCCCCCAACACAGCACUAAUGGAAUUGAAUUGUUAGCAUUUCACACCAUCUGCAACAGUAUCUUAUUUAGGUGUGUGCAUUAGUUCGGUCUCUUUCAUGUAGAGUUUUCCAAUUACUUUCCACUUUCAGGAAAACCUUCCUGGUGCAUCUCAAAUCCAAUCAAAUCCCAGGAGUACUUCAUAGGAAGACCAGGGAUUUUAUUUACUCCCCUAACAUCACUGUGAAUGUUCUCAUGGAAUACUGGGGAUGUUGGGGCUAGGAAGCAGACAUAGAUUGUAUGUAUUCCUUUUCCCCCCUCCCUGCCCCAUGCUGAGCCUUCCAGAAGUAUCUCCUGCAAAAUGCUUCUGGCAUCUGCUGCCUCCAAAGGAAAGAACCCGUAUCUGAAAUUCAUAUCUGGAUCUCCAGUGCUUACCUAAAAGUCACUGACCUGGUCCUAAAAAACUCCUUAUUGUAGUUGGUACCAGCUCGGCAGCUUUCCUGUCACAGUGAUGGACAAAGGGACCUAUUUGGCAGGACCAAUUCAGAAGCAGCCGAUCUGGCAGCAUGACUGAUAACUGCAGUAAGGAAACUGUUUGAGUAGCAAGCUUCCACCAGUAUGUUCCUUUGAAAGGAAAUUCAAUAGCACAUUGUCAAGCUGCUCCAGCUAACCGGUCUGCCCCCUAUCUCUGACACGUUUUCCAGAAUUCUGUAAUGAGUUCCAUCUGGAGCUUUCUUAGGCUGCAGAUGUUCUGAUUAAUCAGUCUCCAGUACUGAUGACAUCCUGAUAGCCAGCGGUAUAUCGUAUUCUUCACUUUGGGAGAGAUCGCUCUUUCUGGCACCAAUCACCAUCACAUUCCCUUCUCCCUGGUGAACACUGAGGCACAUAGUUCACCAUCGAGUUCAUUUGAAUUAGUAGCUCAAUAGAGAGAGAAAGACAGAGGACGUUGCUGCACAAUAAACAGUUGGGAGGGGUCCAAGAAUAUGGGAUGACACUGAUCCCUCUGCAGUGGGCCAACACAGAGAUAAUCCACCACUUAAGACUUUGAAAUAGCGUUUAAAUGGGACUUAAGUGCUGCAGGUUUUCUACACCGGAGGGGAAACUGAGGUACCAGGAGACUUGCCCAAAGUCAUCCAGCAAACCAGUGGCAGAGUUGGGAAUCUUACUCAGGCCUCCUUAGUUUGCCUUGACCUUAGUUUCACCCACUCAUUUUUGUUGCUCUUUUCAGAACCUUUUCCAAUUCCAAUAUAUCUUUUUUUGAGAUGGGGC